AUACUUACUUGGACGGGAUAAAUAGGUGAUCAUGAAGGCUCGUAGCCUAGAUUGGUGACCACCGUGGCACCAUUGCACUUUGGAGGGAUACCCGCCUAAGAUUUACCCAAGUGAGAGAGUCUACUUUAUAAUAACUUGUGGUGGUGGAGCCUGCGUUCGCACGGCCCCUGC
rnacentral:snRNA from 1 species